rnacentral:rRNA from 1 species
GCAAGUCGAGCGGUAACAUUUCUAGCUUGCUAGAAGAUGACGAGCGGCGGACGGGUGAGUAACGCGUAGGAAUCUGCCCGGUAGCGGGGGAUAGCCCAGAGAAAUUUGGAUUAAUACCGCAUACGCCCUAAGGGGAAAGGAGGGGACUCUUCGGAGCCUUCCACUAUCGGAUGAGCCUGCGUCGGAUUAGCUUGUUGGUGGGGUAAUGGCCUACCAAGGCGACGAUCCGUAGCUGGUCUGAGAGGAUGAUC